GGUGAACGCUGGCGGCGUGGAUAAGGCAUGCAAGUCGAAUGGGGUUAGACCCAUGGCAGACGAGGUAGUAACACGUAGGUACGUACCCCAAAGUCAGACAUAACCAGUCGAAAGACUGGAUAAUAUCUGAUGGUCCCGCAAGGGUAAAGAUUUAUCGCUUUGGGAGCGGCCUGCGUAGUAUCAGCUUGUUGGUAAGGUAAAAGCUUACCAAGGCUAUGACGCUUAGGGGAGGUGAGGGCCUGACCCCCACCGAUGGAACUGCGACACGGUCCAUACUCCUACGGGAGGCUGCAGCCGAGAAUAUUCCGCAAUGGGCGAAAGCCUGACGGAGCGACGCCGCGUGAAGGAUGAGGGCCCUCGGGUCGUAAACUUCUUUUAUGAGGGAGGAAAUUUUGACGUUACCUCAUGAAUAAGGAGCUCCUAAUUCCGUGCCAGCAGGAGCGGUCAUACGGAAGCUUCGAGCGUUACCCGGAAUCACUGGGCGUAAAGGGUGUGUAGGUGGUUUAGUUAGUCUUCUGUUAAAGACCCGGGCUCAACCCGGGAAGUGCGGAGGAAACGGCUAAACUAGAGUGUGAGAGAGGUGAACGGAACUCAUAGUGUAGGAGUGAAAUCCGUUGAUAUUAUGGGGAACACCAGAGGCGAAGGCAGUUCACUGGCUCAUUACUGACACUGAGACACGAAAGCGUGGGUAGCGAACGGGAUUAGAUACCCCGGUAGUCCAUGCCCUAAACGAUCCUAACUAGCUUUGGGGAGUAUCGACCCUCUCCGAGGCAAAGCUAACGCGUUAAGUUAGGCGCCUGGGUAGUACGAGCGCAAGCUUAAAACUCAAAGGAAUAGACGGGGACUCGCACAAGCGGUGGAGCGUGCGGCUUAAUUCGUCGCUAAGCGAAGAACCUCACCAAGGCUAGAAAUCUAGGGGAAGACUAGUAGAAACAUUAGUCGCCUGCGGGCUCCUAGACAGGUGAUGCAUGGCCGUCGUCAGUUCGUGGUUUGAAUUGUACCG
rnacentral:rRNA from 1 species